UUUACUCUUAUUUCCUUUGGAUCUCUACUUUUUCUCACUCUCCCAACAUUCACUGAUUUUGGUCAUUUAAUUUUGAUCGAAAUGGAAAUUGUGGAAAACUGAUUUUCAGGUGUAGGAAUUCGACGUUUUCUCUUUUUUUUUUGGAAAACCAUUACGAAGAAAAUCAUUUAUAAGAGAAAUAGUCCCAACAGAGAUUGAUUCAAUGGCUACAAUUUUUCUUCAAUACUGCAGAACUCGGAAGUGAAAUAAAAUUCCAAGAAAACAAGAUCACAGGCCCUCAACGAUUUUCAAUUACACAAGUAAAAAAUUACAAAGAGAAUGAGUGUGACAAAUUUUGGGUGGAGGCCCUUCAGUUCCCAUGGGGUUGCUGCGAAUAAGAAGACACAGAACAAAAUUAGCUUUUAUUUAGGCACAGAUAAUCUUCAAUGGAGCAAAUAUAUCAUUCUUCUCAAUUAAAGAGGUUUCGGGUGACUCUCGCCAUCACAAAUUCUGAAUGUUACGGAACCAAUUGCUACCUAUCACAGAAAAAGAAACGCGUACCGCACACGGGGUUGACCGGGUCAACAGCUUAAGGAAAAGUAAAUGAACCAAACGCGUAAAUUACACGCAGAUGACACGGAAUCUCCAUCCUAUAUAAGGGUUCUGUGCGUCUUCUUCUUCUCAGUCCAGACUCGAAGGCCACCGCGACGAAAAAAUCGAACGACAGAUUCUCCUCUCAUCUUCUCCUGCCAAUUCCAUGGCGCGAUUCUGGCGAGUCCAUCCAUCCAUCUAUUGGGGAACUCACAACAGCGUUAGCGCUAGGGGGCUAUGUUUUCCAACUUCAGGAUGAUCGUUAACAUGGAAGCCUAGGAUUGCGUACCACUUGAAACCGCUGUACAAUUCGUUCGUAUUUGGUCUCGAAUGCUUUCGCUUAGUGAGAUAUUUAAGUGACUGUCUCUGUGAUUGUCGACGGCAAGGUCUGCACUAACUUCAACGCCCAAUUUGCCCGUGUUGCCGUCGAGAAAUCCUACACCGAAGAGUCGCCUUCCAUUCAGACAUCAAACCCACUCAUUCUAUGAUUGGAAGUAAAUUUAUAGGUUUACCAGUGUAUAUGGAGUACUGAUGCAUGGGUAAGCACUCUCUCAAAGACAUCUUGGAACUGGCUUGUGCGUGGUUGGGUAUUAAUUUCUUAAGUUUUCCUAUUUCUUCUGUUAACUUACUUAGGUUUGUUAUUGGCCAUUUAUUUUUUAGUUGAGUUUAUUAGCGUGAUUCUAUUUCUAUCAUAAUGUAUCCUUCCGUCUUAGAAUUUUCCUGUGAUUAGUCAUUAUCUCGAAUGCCAAUAAUUAUGUUCAAACUAAGACUAAAUAAGUAUCGGUUUUUGGAUAUGUUGAGAAACGUUUGGGAGUCUAAAUUGACAAAAUAAUAUAAUAAGAUCUUACAAGCCCUUGUAUAUUCUUCUAUUUUUCUUGACGGGAGUUCGAUUUCUCAUAAUAAAAAAAAUCUGUCAUGCUUACAAAUGUUGUCUGUACAACAUAAGUUUGUGAAGUUGAGUUUAGAUUUUGGGAUGCUUAAUCUAGAUUACAUUUUUGCUAAGACCGUAUGUUACUUUGAUUCAAAUUUUAGAAACACGAGCUUUCAACUAUUAAAAAGAUAUACAUAUAGAUGGAAACACACGCAUAAAAACAAAAGCCAUUGCCUUCCAAGUAGAUCGUUAUUUUAUUAUUAUUAUUUUUUUAUGAAACAAAGAUCAUGAUAUUUUAUUAGCUUAAUAACGUUGUAAUUCGUAUUUACUAUUCGAGCACAACAGUCGGUUCAUUUUGCUUGGUGUUGAUGAAAUUAAACUGCGCAGGACUUCAUGUGAAGCAAGAAUGUCCACUUGCUUUCGAGUAUGUGCAUUGAAUGUAUGCUUUAUUUAUUAUUUUUAUAUAGCAGUAAUUUUGUUUACUGUUUUUCUUGACAUGUAGUCCCAUAUUUAGUGCUGUUAGAAAUCAAAUAAUAAGAUAUUUGAAAAUAGGGAGAGGAAAAGCUCGUGAAUAGGAUGAAAUUGGAAGUUCCACUUCCAUCUUGCUGACUUGAAUGACCACUCACAGUGUAAAAUAUCAUUCUUUAGUUUAGAUCUGAGGAAGACUAUUGAAUUUUUUAAAAAAAUGUUUAAUGUGACGGUGUGUAUAUAUAUAUACAUUUAACAUACACCUAUUUCAAGAGGUUAUGAAUUCAAGAUGAGUUUAUUAUAUCAUAGAAUCUUCGGCUAGUUAAAUAUCACUAGCAGACGAUGGAGAAUGUUAACUGAUGGGUAAGUAGAUAAAAAGUAUAGUGAAAAUGGCAUGAUUCUUCUUUUAGUAGAACAAUACUUGAGCUUUUAAUAUUUGGUAAUAACGUUUGUGAGAAUUAGUUCAAUUUUUGUACAAAUUUGAUAUUUAGCGGAGCCAAGACAAAUUGAUUAAUUUGGUUGUGUGUAUCUAUGUAUAUAAACUUUACAAAUCUGAUUAUUCAAAAAUGGUGUUACAUUUUCAGCCUAACUGCAAUAAUCUUGGUAGUAUCUAGUAAUCAACAAUAAGGGGAAAUAAACCUUUUGAAAUAGUCUAUUUUCUUUCGUUAUGAUAGGUGUUGCUCUGAAUAUUAAUGUCUUCCCAUUGAAAAACAUUCCUUAACAAUUAUUCAUUGCAAUUUUCUUGUUAUAGUUUGGUGACUGACUCACAUCAUGUGUUCGUAUAUUCAGUAUUUGAAAGGUUCGCCCUCGUAACAUUAUGGGAAGCUGAAAAUUUUUGAGUUGCUUUCAACACUUGAGGGAAAGCUGAACAUGCACGAGACAUUGCUGCUACGUUAUCAAGUAUUCUCAGACUCAUCUGUGCAAAUCUCAAAGGCAUCAAUGUUAGCACUUGUUAGAUAGAAGAGUAUUGCCAUUUUUCUCAACAUUUCCUUUUGUUUGUCUAUUCCAUAUGUAUAAUAUAAUAUAUUCACGCUCAAACUUACAAUUUAGUGCAAUAUAAAUACUAUUA